rnacentral:rRNA from 1 species
UACGGAGGGUCCGAGCGUUAUCCGGAAUCAUUGGGUUUAAAGGGUCCGUAGGCGGGCAGCUAAGUCAGUGGUGAAAGUUUGCAGCUCAACUGUAAAAUUGCCAUUGAUACUGGUUGUCUUGAAUCGUUGUGAAGUGGUUAGAAUAAGUAGUGUAGCGGUGAAAUGCAUAGAUAUUACUUAGAAUACCGAUUGCGAAGGCAGAUCACUAACAACGUAUUGACGCUGAGGGACGAAAGCGUGGGGAGCGAACAGG